UAAGGGGAUUUUUAGAGUGUGUGACUAGAAGAAGGGUUUGAGGAGAGCUGUGGGGAAAGGAGCCUAAGAGAAAAUGUAGGUUUAAUGAAUCUAUAAAAUGACCCCGUUGUAGAUAAAUGUUACUCCAAAAGAGUUUAAACAGCCUGACUGAAGCCAGCAUCCAUGACAGUCAGUCUGAUGUGAGGUGUCUAUAGCUUCUCUUUGGGUUUCCCUGGGAUAGUUGUUAUUCUCUGCUCACAGACGGGGUGUGUGGACGGGGACUGGGUAGAAAGUGAAUUUAACUGCACAUUUCCAAGUACUAACUUACAGGUUUGUGAAGAGGCUCAAAGGAACUACCAACACCUGCCCUGCAAGCCGCUGCCAUCUCAGAAUCCCAGAAGCUCUGGACAGCCUGCCCUCUGUCUCUGGGUUUCCAACCAGUAAUGGGGAGUCUUUCAGAGCCUAAGGCUCUCCCAGCUAAUGAUGAGAUAGACGGAUGCUUCAACCCUAAUGGGGGCCUUCUGCUUAAAAUAGGCUUUGCACACACACACUACUGAACUUUUCCCCGAAAACCCUCCAGGCUUUUGAUCCCAGGAGAGACAUUCAUCUUUUUUGCAGCUGCUUUGCAAGUUCCGCUGGGGCUGAAUUUCAGGACUCCCAACUGUUAAACUGGUUACAUUGUAAAUCUAGUCACAGUGCUGAAAUGGAGACAUCUGUCCUGGAAGAAGAGGGAAGAUGGGAAAGAGUCUCAAGUAGAAGAUAUGGGGAGCAAGACCAGAGUGAAGACACCCACACCUCGCUCCCUAGCCACAAGUUGUUUGACGUGUAGCUCAAGGAAUGUCACCAAAGAGGGAGAAGGAAGUAUAGACCCCACUGAAGACACAGAGAAGCACUGAGAAACACUGUCUUCAGGCCACCGCUCAGCUAUCUAUCACAAACACAGUAACACCAUAGCUGUGCUGCCUGCAUCGAGCACAAGACGGGGCCUGUCAACAUAACUCGUUCAUAGUGAGGACACUGGGACUGGACAAGCCUUGAAGACAUGAAAAUCCAGAUCUGGAUGGAUGGAGUUUUGUUUACUAUGGUGAAACUUACGUGUAGGAAUGGUUUUGUAGUCUGCACUCCUAUACAGACAAGCUUUGUCAUUUGCACGUGUUCGUCCUACAGCUUCAAAGCAUGGCUCUGCAGCACCUAUCCGAAAGUCAUGAAGGGGACAGGAAGAAACCAUCAAUGCUGGACCAAGGACUCUGGUUCCUGACCACAGCUCCUCUGGGUUUGGGUUCCAUACGUCCAGCUUGCUGCUGGAUCCCUCCACCAGGAGCUUCUCAGGAGCUUCAAACUCAGCAUGUUCUGCUCUCCACCCCAAGCAAAGUGCUCCCUCCUGACAUCUUAAUUAAUGUUAACGGUAUUAUUUUACGGGAUGGUUGCAUUUACAACUUUCCGAUGAUCUUUGUCUUCCUUUCCCUUGUCUCUAUAUCUGGGAAGCUGGAGCCUUCUGUAACGCCAUCUCCAAAGACCUCUCGGUGCCGUCCUUCCUUGUCACCACCAUCACCAAUCUGCUGCUUUGGGAUCUUCUGAACACUGUAAUGUAGUUUCUUCAGGCAUGGAUCUGAUCUCUCUGAUGUCUGGGUCAAUCUUCCUAGCCCACAGAUAAGACAUAGGAAAGUCAUACCCUGGACAUGCUGGAGAGAAACUGAACAAAGAGAAACGGAGAACCACCCAAAACAGCUGGCCAGACAAGAAGGAUCGUCUAGGGCCUGCCAUCAGCUCAUCCCCAGAUUUUCUGAGAGCCUCCAUGAAGAAGGCAGGACAAGGAAAGGCAAAUAGCCACCCACUGCUCAUCUGGAAUGGUUUCGAGUCAUAAAGUUGGCAAACAGCUACCCUCUGCUUGAGAAAUCCAUUUUCGCGCUGUGGUCCUGAUCCUGUCGUGUGUAACUGUUAACCAGCUGGGUGACCUGGACUGAUUCACUGCCCCGACUCCAACCCAGAGGAACGGCUCAGCUCUCUCAAGCUCCUUAUACCUUUAAAGUCUGUGACUCUAGUUUAUGGUUCAUGAAGACAUUAUAAAAAAUUCCCGCCAGGAUUAGGUUUCCUAAAAACUUGAGAUGGUUUAGUGUUCUGCAUAUAGUCAAAGUCGGCUGUGAAGUACAUCUCAACUGUGACGCCUGUGGCCGGUGGGUGACCUGCUUGUUUUGGUGCUAGAUAGCAACUGAUAUAUAUGAUUUGUUUGUUUGUUUGUUUGUUUGUUUGUUUGUUUGUUUUUUCACAGAUUUUUGGAGAGGGAACAGGGUGUUUGUAUGUAGGUGUUUGUUUGCAUAGGCCAAAGAUCAACCUCUGCACAAUGUCAGCUCUCAGGGGACAGUCACAUUGUAUUUUGAGAGAGUCUUCCCCUGGGACCUGGGAUACACUGACUGGUCAUCAAGGUCCAUGAUUCUGCUUGUCUCCACCUCCCCAAUGCACCACAUACAGCUUUUUUGUGUAGAUUCCGGGUACCAGACCAAGGUGCCCACAUGGCAUGGCAAGUAUUUUAGUGGUUUAGCUAUCUCCCCAGCACAAGCCGUCUUUGUUUUAAGUCAACAAUCCCUUUUGGCAUUCCCCAAAUUCGCAGAUUUUAGACAAAAAUAGCAAUUAUCUGAGUGUCCACCACACAAAAGAUAACUAUAAGCAUCUUUCCCCAAGCUGAAGACCAGUGUGGACACUGCUUAUGCUGCCCAGUGCUUAGGCCUCAUCACUGCUGGUGAUGUGAGAGCUGCUAGCCUUCCACUGAGACCCUGAGAUGAAAGGACUGCUUUGCCUAAAGCCACAUCCAGUGCUCAAGCCUGUACCCCAGUGGGUCUAACUCUAAAGGGCCAUGCCAACGCCUGAGUUCCUGAGAGGUGAGCUGAGGCUUUUACUGUAGACAUAUUUACUACUGUUGUAGGUCAGCUUCCCCCACCCCCACCCCCCUGCUCAUGACUCCAUGGAGCAUGUCCUAAUAAACUCGCUGCACAGCCGGUCCGGCCUUAGCCUGCUCCCUGGAGGGUUUGGCCUAUCCAAGCCACAUAUGGACCUGAAUUCUAAAUUGGGUUCUCUUCGUUUCUAGAGUGAGACCUGGAAUGUGUUUCAGCAAAAUAGGAAUAGAGAUGACCACCUCGUAGAGUUGUUUAUCAUAACGAAAUAUGGAAACUAAUACCAAGUACAUUGCCAAUGACCAGCUAAAGUUCAUACUCACAGAACAGUCACGAUGUAUCAGGUUCUAGUUUAUGGAUGUUUCCACAAAGGUACUCUGUGGGGACAAUGGCAUCCUUAUUUCACAGAGGAGAAAAACCAAGACAUAUAUAAGUUAAGUAACUUCAUGAAGAUCACACAGCUAAUAAAUCAUAGUCAAGAAAACAAACCAAGCAGCCAAACUGCAGAAGCAACGUUCUUCAUUAAAACUCUACUGUCUCUUAGCAAAGAAAGAAAAAUUAAAAUAAACACAUUUUUCCUGACAAUGAGCAAAAGAAGAAGCAUGAAUUUUGAUUCUGGUCCGUUCCAUGGGUUGUGUUUGCUUUUGCUUCAGAUAAACCCUUGAUACGAAGAGUGAGUAAAACGGCAGGAGGCUGCUUGGGCCCGUAUCUUGGCACCUAGUUAAUUAGUUAGUUAGUUAGUUAGUUAGUUAUUGACUCCAGAUUGAUCAUUGGAUCACUAGAAUCAAUGCAUCACUUAUUUUUGUUGUUCAUUUUCGUUCUAAUGAAACUUGGUCUGGGUUUCUUUCUUCGUGAAUCCUACUGAGUGGAGGGUCAGUGAAUAAAACAAAGACAUUUCA
rnacentral:lncRNA from 1 species